rnacentral:rRNA from 1 species
AUUGAACGCUGGCGGCAUGCCUUACACAUGCAAGUCGAACGGCAGCACGGGUGCUUGCGCCUGGUGGCGAGUGGCGAACGGGUGAGUAAUACAUCGGAACAUGUCCUGUAGUGGGGGAUAGCCCGGCGAAAGCCGGAUUAAUACCGCAUACGAUCUACGGAUGAAAGCGGGGGACCUUCGGGCCUCGCGCUUUAGGGUUGGCCGGUGGCUGAUUAGCUGGUUGGGGGGGUAAAGGCCUACCAAGGCGGCGAUCAGUAGCUGGGCUGAGAGGACGACCCGCCCCACGGGGGCGUGGAACGGGCCCCGGGCCCUAAGGGAAGGAGCAGGGGGGAAAUUUUGACAAUGGGCGAAAGCCUGAUCCAGCAAUGCCGCGUGUGUGAAGAAGGCCUUCGGGUUGUAAAGCACUUUUGUCCGGAAAGAAAUCCUUGGCCCUAAUACGGUCGGGGGAUGACGGUACCGGAAGAAUAAGCACCGGCUAACUACGUG